rnacentral:rRNA from 1 species
GUGGCAGCCGCCGCGGUAAUACGUAGGGUGCGAGCGUUAAUCGGAAUUACUGGGCGUAAAGCGUGCGCAGGCGGUUGUGUAAGACAGGUGUGAAAUCCCCGGGCUUAACCUGGGAACUGCGCUUGUGACUGCACAGCUAGAGUAUGGCAGAGGGGGGUGGAAUUCCACGUGUAGCAGUGAAAUGCGUAGAGAUGUGGAGGAACACCGAUGGCGAAGGCAGCCCCCUGGGCCAAUACUGACGCUCAUGCACGAAAGCGUGGGGAGCAAACAGGAUUAGAUACCCCAGUAGUC